AUUUCUUUGAUAAAGUAACAUGGAACACCCAGUAUAUGCAAGAGGGGAAGAUGUUAGAAAUUCUUGGUCGUACGGUGUAACGCUCCGUUGACACGAUGAUGGAUCGUCCACCUUGACCGGACAGGUAGAUAUACAUUCACACUAGCGCGUUGAAAGUGUGUAAUCGUAGCAGCACGCAGGUACCUUUACAAGGGUCAACAACUCCAUCAAAACGUGAAAAUCAUCUGAUACGGUGUUUGACCCGCUUACUUGCGAACUUGGCGAUACGACAAACUCUGAACACGUGCGCGGAAUUCAAUAUGAAAUAAUUACUUUUAUAGAAUAAAAAAAUAAAUUACUAUCAUAUGUUAUUGUACAAGUAACAGGAUUCUCGUUGAAUUAAUUGCGUUAUUCAGAAACGAUCAAUCAGCAAUUAGCAAUGUACUGUCCAGCUUGGGGUGACCAGACUGUGUAAUCUAAAGAUUGAAAACAGACUAGAACAUGGUGCAUGAUACAAUUAUAAAUCUUCCCGAGCGGUGCAGCACGAGACGACGCUGACUCUAAUUAUGAAUCUUGAGACCUUGGCCACCCCUGAUCGGUACGUUUACGUCGGCCUCGCCAGGUCUCGCCGUUUGUUUUUCCCUGCCAAUUUGCACCGAGAUCUCGAGUCUGCGACACGAGAUACGCCAUUGGCGGAACAAGACAGUGGAACAAGCUGAAAGGGCGAGGAGCACGAAGAGGAAGAGGAUGCAGGAAGAAAAAGGAGAUCGGGCUGGUCACACAUGACAAUGUACGACGAAGGCAUGAUGGAUGAGGGGGCGGCUAGUUUACGUGAUCGAGACAUGAUCGCCGGCAGACGGGGUGGUCCAUCUGUCCGUUUCUUUUCUCUUUCUUUCACAUUGGAAUGGCUCGUCCAGUGUUUCGCCCUUUCCACGUAGCGCAUGUAACACACGAGAACUCGAACCACCCCUGUCACCGGUCUGACCGAUCUUAUUGUCAUAUUCUACGGACACAGGAGAAGCUGCUCUCUUAAGGCGAAUUUACACUUUUUCAUUUUGGAUAUUCAUUCUGAAUAAUUUAUUCAUCUUUAUAAGAAAAAUGAAAAUUGGAAUAUUUAUAGAUAAAUAUUUGUUCAACGAUUAAAUUCGUAAGUAUUAGAUUGAGUUAAGACGAAUUUAAACUUUUCACUUUGGAUAUGCACAAUUAUACUACAUGUUAUGAACUGGUUAUUUGUUAUUGGAUAAGUUUAGACUUGCCAUUGCUUUCAUUACUGAUGGAUGAAUCUUAUUCAUUAAAAGUAGAAAAUAAUUUUAUUUUGUUCACUGAUCACUUUGAAUGUUCAUUUUUGAUGAAAUGCAGAUG